rnacentral:rRNA from 1 species
AACGUAGGUGGCAAGCGUUAUCCGGAUUUACUGGGCGUAAAGCGUGUGCAGGCGGAGGUCCAAGUGGUGUAUGAGAUCGCCCGGCUUAACCGGGCGGGGUUAUGCCAGACUGGGCUUCUGGAGGACAGGAGAGGGGCGUGGAAUUCCGGGUGUAGUGGUGAAAUGCGUAGAGAUCCGGAGGAACCCCAGCGGCGAAGGCGGCGCCCUGGCCUGUUACUGACGCUCAGACACGACAGCAUGGGGAGCGAAC